AUUGAACGCUGGCGGCAUGCUUUACACAUGCAAGUCGAACGGCAGCACAGGGAGCUUGCUCCCGGGUGGCGAGUGGCGCACGGGUGAGUAAUACAUCGGAACGUGUCCUGUUNUGGGGGAUAACUGCUCGAAAGGGUGGCUAAUACCGCAUGAGACCUGAGGGUGAAAGCGGGGGAUCGCAAGACCUCGCGCAAUUGGAGCGGCCGAUGCCCGAUUAGCUAGUUGGUGAGGUAAAGGCUCACCAAGGCGACGAUCGGUAGCUGGUCUGAGAGGACGACCAGCCACACUGGGACUGAGACACGGCCCAGACUCCUACGGGAGGCAGCAGUGGGGAAUUUUGGACAAUGGGGGCAACCCUGAUCCAGCCAUGCCGCGUGCAGGAUGAAGGCCUUCGGGUUGUAAACUGCUUUUGUCAGGGACGAAAAGGACCGUGUUAAUACCAUGGUCUGCUGACGGUACCUGAAGAAUAAGCACCGGCUAACUACGUG
rnacentral:rRNA from 1 species